CUGCGCCACAAGUGGCAAUCAGUAUUAUUGGGCCUAAAGCGUCCGUAGCUGGUCUGAUAAAUCUCUUGUGAAAGUGUUGAGCUUAACUUAACAAAUGGCAGGAGACACUAUUAGACUCGGAACCGGUAGGAGUCAGAAGUAUGGAAGGGGUAACGGUAAAAUGUUAUAAUCCCUUCUAGACUACCUGUGGCGAAGGCGUCUGACUAGGACGGAUUCGACAGUGAGGGACGAAAGCCAGGGGAGCGAUCCGGAUUAGAUACCCGAGUAGUCC
rnacentral:rRNA from 1 species